GCCUCUCUGAAAAAGUAUGCAUUCAUUUUUUUCUUCUUAGUCAUCUCAUUUGUGCAUGUACAUGAGCAAAAAGUACUUUUCAUUCUUUCCUUCUCAUUCAUUAUUUUCUUAUCAUUCAUCUCAUUCUUUUCUUAUCAUUCAUACCAUUUGUGCAUUCAUUAAUUUUAUUUUCAUUCAUCUCAUUCUUUUCUUUUCAUUCAUCUCUAGAAACCUUACUGUUACAAUCUCUCUAUCAAAGUUUCAACCUUUGCAAAUAUUUUAAGUUUUAAUUUUAUAGAGUAGGGUUUGGCAUGCACAAUUACACCAUGGUCCUAACCGUCAUACCUCAAAAUU
rnacentral:lncRNA from 1 species